AAAGAAAGAAAGAAAGAAAGAAAGAAAGAAAGAAAGAAAGAAAGAAAGAAAGAAAGAAAAGAAAAGAAAGAAAAAGAAUGGUCCAUUUCCUUUACCUAAAACCUCAUAGAAGCUUUUGGAAAAAUUCUCCUCACUGAAGACAACAACAAAAACAGGAUCCAAAAAAUAAUAUCACAACAAGAGGACAUUCUCAGAUCCUUUUCCCAAGCCCUCCCUGUUCAUCUUCAAGUGAUCAAUGACCUGUCAAGUUCUUGUUAUGCUUCAAACCCCUCUGCUACCAGCUGGAGAAAAACCUCUGCUCUUGAAGGGCUUGUGUGAUUAGACAUUUCAAGUGAAAGCUGGGUGUGGUUGUAUAUGCCUAUAAUCCUUGGACUGGAGGCUGAGGCAAGAGGAUCCAGAUCAGAAAUUCAAGG